rnacentral:rRNA from 1 species
ACAUGCAAGUCGAGCAGUAGAGAGAAGCUUGCUUCUCUAGAGCGCGGACGGGUGAGUAAAGCCUAGGAAUCUGCCUGAUAGUGGGGGAUAACGUUCGGAAACGGACGCUAAUACCGCAUACGUCCUACGGGAGAAAGCAGGGGACCUUCGGGCCUUGCGCUAUCAGAUGAGCCUAGGUCGGAUUAGCUAGUUGGUGAGGUAAUGGCUCACCAAGGCGACGAUCCGUAACUGGUCUGAGAGGAUGAUCAGUCACACUGGAACUGAGACACGUCCAGAUCUAAGGGAGGCAGCAGUGGGGAAUAUUGGACAAUGGGCGAAAGCCUGAUCCAGCCAUGCCGCGUGUGUGAAGAAGGUCUUCGGAUUGUAAAGCACUUUAAGUUGGGAGG